UUUAAGUGCAACUAUGAGUUUUUGUGUCCAAUUUUAAUCGUUUGUCUUAUUUGAAAUUUUUUUAUAAUUAGUAUUUUUGUUGUUAGGAGAUGAUAAAAUAUAAACAGUAUUUUACUCAUGACUUAUAUUUUUAAAUUUUUUAAAAAAAAAUUUAAAUAAAAUUAUGGGUACACUUAAAAUGGGAUAGAUUGACUGCAGUAUUUUGG
rnacentral:pre_miRNA from 1 species